UACGGGGAUGCAAGCGUUAUCCGGAAUUAUUGGGCGUAAAGGGUCCUGAGGUGGCUAGCCAAGUCUAUUGUGAAAUAUCAGGGCUUAACCCUGAACAUGCGGUGGAAACUAGAAAGCUUGAGUACAGUAGGGGCGGAGGGAAUUUCCGGUGGAGCGGUGAAAUGCAUAGAUAUCGGGAAGAACACCAACGGCGAAAGCACUCCGCUGGGCUGAUACUGACACUGACAGACGAAAGCUAGGGUAGCGAAAGGG
rnacentral:rRNA from 1 species